AUUUGGGAAACUACCUGAUAGAGGGGGACAACAGUUGGAAACGACUGCUAAUACCGCAUAAAGCCUGAGGUGAAAGCAGCAAUGCGCUAUCAGAUGUGCCCAAACGGGAUUAGCUAGUAGGUGAGGUAAAGGCUCACCUAGGCGACGAUCUCUAGCUGGUCUGAGAGGAUGAUCAGCCACAUUGGGACUGAGACACGGCCCCAGACUCCUACGGGAGGCAGCAGUAGGGAAUAUUGCACAAUGGAGGAAACUCUGAUGCAGCCAUGCCGCGUGUGUGAAGAAGGCCUUCGGGUUGUAAAGCACUUUCGGAGGGGAGGAAAAGAUGACGUUACCCUCAGAAGAAGCACCGGCUAACUCCGUG
rnacentral:rRNA from 1 species